AUUGAACGCUGGCGGCAUGCUUUACACAUGCAAGUCGAACGGUAACAGGCCGCAAGGUGCUGACGAGUGGCGAACGGGUGAGUAAUGCAUCGGAACGUGCCCAGUCGUGGGGGAUAACUACUCGAAAGAGUAGCUAAUACCGCAUACGAUCUAUGGAUGAAAGCGGGGGACCGUAAGGCCUCGCGCGAUUGGAGUGGCCGAUGUCAGAUUAGGUAGUUGGUGGGGUAAAGGCUCACCAAGCCAACGAUCUGUAGCUGGUCUGAGAAGACGACCAGCCACACUGGGACUGAGACACGGCCCAGACUCCUACGGGAGGCAGCAGUGGGGAAUUUUGGACAAUGGGCGCAAGCCUGAUCCAGCAAUGCCGCGUGCAGGAAGAAGGCCUUCGGGUUGUAAACUGCUUUUGUACGGAACGAAACGGCUCUGGUUAAUACCCGGGGCUAAUGACGGUACCGUAAGAAUAAGCACCGGCUAACUACGUG
rnacentral:rRNA from 1 species